ACUAAAAACAAGUUUCAUUAUUCAGUGUACUGUAGGUGGGAAUUAUGAGCUAAUAGCUGAACUUCUUGUGUUUACAGAUGGAUGGUUAUACUCUAACUUCAGCUUUUACUUUAUUUCCUCACUGAAGAAGAGCUGGUCAGAGAGCAGAAGAUACUGUAUGGAGAGAAGAGUGGAUCUGAUCAUCAUAAACAACAGAGAGAAAUAAGUGAUUGCAUAAAAGUUUUACC